ensembl:lncRNA
UCUAUAACCUUCCCUGGUACCGAGGUCAGGCUGACAGUCUGUAGUUCCCCAGAUCCUCCUUACUGCCCUUCUUGUAGAUGGGAGUCAUCUGGGAUGUCUUCAGAUAACUGGGAGUGCUGGUAGAUGGCAGAGAGCAGCUUGGCAAUCACCCCUACCAGCUCCCUCAGCACCCAAGGGUGGAGCCCAUCCGGUCCCGUGUACUUGUGACUUCUUGCCUGCAUUGCUCCUGUGAGGCCCAACACAAAGAGCAACCUGCACCAAAGUGAGAGUGUCCAAGUGCGUUCUCAUUAACGCAUCACUUGAAGUAGUACUUACAUCAUCUUUUCUUUGUGUGAAGUGACCCUUUAAGGCCACUUAAUGCCACUCCGUGAUGCUGACUGGUAACCAGUUGGAUUUCAUGGCGUGCAAGUCAUUACUUGGUGAAAACUGUGGAGCUUUAUGUGCUGCUUUUAGGACAACACAGUCCCUGUCUGUGCAAGAAUGUAGAGCUGUGGGAAGGACUGGGCAUGUAGAUGGCUGCUGUGGUGCAGCAUGGGGAUUGUCUGUGAGCUUAGUUGACCAGAGUGAGCUACAGCGAUGGAGGUGCUGGUCUUUCAUGGCAGGACUUGCCAGGCCUGUCUUAGGUGGCAGUCUUAACAUGAGAUGAGCUCAUGAUUACCCCUGGCUGUGGGCCAGGUGAAGCUGGAGAUACUAGGCUGAACAGGAAGGAAGCCCACCUAGUGGGUCAGACCUAUUUGGACUUAUUGCUUCCCUGCUUCCUCACUUUCUCAAAGGCACUCGACCUUUGCCUUUGCUGGACAAGAUGCUCAUUCGAACUUCAAAACCUAAGGGACAUCUGGCUCUGGAAUUUCUGGGCUUUCAAGUUGUACCUGACAGACCUGAAUCCUGGGAAACUGUGCUCUGGGUGAGGGCCUGGGGAUGAGGCUUUUGUGGGAGUUUUAAUUGCUCAGUUUUCAUUGUCAUGAACAGAUGCAUUCUUUGAACAGAAGUAGUGGCUCAUUUCAGGCUUGUGAGGAGAAGGUGUUGCCCUAACUCCUUCAACUUGAAGACUUGGAUCUUGGCUUCAGUGUUUCGACUCUUAGAAAACAUGCACAGUGCUGUGCAGCUUCCCUUUAACUUCAUCGGAAUCGGCUGCCUCUACUCUGGGUCAGUCACAGAGAACCAAAACUAGUAUCUGAAUAAACAGCCCAUUCAUUUGAGGACUGUUAUUCCCAGUACCAGGAUCCGGAACACAAUCUGGGCAGCCAGCUAAUGAGAACACCAGAGCUGUGAGACUGUGGAGGUGGGGCAGAGAAGAAAACAGAACAAACACUUUUUUGUGGCUUGGGGCAAAAGAGAUUCAGCCAAAGGUUAAUUGCUGUCUACCCUAAAAUGCUGUGAAGUAUUGCUGCAUGGUGUCAUACAGCUGCUUCGUUCCAGUGCAGAGGUGUCUGUUUCAGUGGUGGGUGGCAUGAGCCAGUAUCCUUUUCUUAGUUGCACGGGGGUGUUGUGAGGUCUCUUGCAACUUCCAAAAAGCCUACUAAAGCUUUCGUACUGUUUAGGAUGUCACUGCAGCAUGGAAGCAGGCAGUGAAUAAGCCACCAAGUGAGCAGCCCUCCCGUCCCCUUGUUUCACCCUCACUGGCAGAAAUGUGGAAAUAAGUAAGCGGUAGUGUUGUAGUUUAACCCAGCAGCAGCUGAACACCACAUAGCCCUUUGCUCAUUCCCUCCCAUUCUCGUCUUUCAGCGGAUGAGGGAGAGAAUUGAAGGGGGGGAAGGGAAGGUAGUACAAAUCAUAGGUUUAGAUAAAACCGCUACUAGGACAGAAAAGGAAGAGAGAGGUAACAGUAAUGAUAAUAAUUAUUAUAUAUACACAAAACAAAUGAAACACAAAGCAAUUUGCUUGCUGACUGAUGCCCAACCUGUCCCCAAGCAGCGGCUGCCUCCUGCCCAACCCCCCCCAGUUUUCAGAGUCACAGAACAGUAGGGGUUGGAAGGGACCUCAGGAGAUCCUUUAGUCCAACCUGCUGCUGAUGUAGUUUCCCUACAGGUUCCCUAAGUAGGUUGCACAGGACACCAGACAGGUUUUGAGCAUCUCUGGAGUAGGAGACUCCAUGACCUCUCUGGCCAGAUGUUACAGUUGGAAAGAAUAACGUGGAGAAAUGGAAAGAAACAAACAGAGAAGGAAUGCUUACCCGUAUUUGAAGAUUCAGGCUCACGAUGGAAGACUCCACAGAGGAGGGAUCUCCAGAAAGAGAUCCUUCCCCAGUGGCAGUCAGCCCUUAAGUGGGGUCUAGGAGAGGUGGAGCCAUGCUCCACUGGCAAUAGUAGGAUUUCUUAGACCUUUAGCGUGUUUUUGUCUAGUCAAGAUAGCAUUACCAAUUUUGGCUCUAGCUAUCACCUUUUUCUGAUAAAGUGUCAUAGACUACCAUAUCAAAUACUGUAACCUUUAACUCCAUUAUUGGGAGUAUUCUGCAGCACAGGAUCAGUAUUUUGAUAGUUUUGUAACUGGCAAGAGAUGCUACUUUGAAGAAUAGUCCUUCUGCCAUGAAAUAAUGUGGUCUUAGUGCCUCUUUCAGUGGUUGAAACUCUGCCUUGAACAAAGCAGUACAAACAUUCCCUAGCAGAACUCCGGCUUGAUAAUGGUGCAGCACAUCUGGCACAUUUCUCUGGUCUUGCACGCUCUUUCUUGUUGAAACUGGGUGCUAAUACAGGAACUACCUGGCCUACCUCUGUACUACUGACUUCUGCUCCAGCAAGUGCUUGUUAAAUUAACAUUGGUGCUUGACAACCCAUUUUCCUGCCCAGCUCAGGUAAGACAGCUCUUUGUUCUGUGAUCCUUAUGCUGGGCGACAGGAUGCUCUGGGACAGCCCGAGGGGUUGGAGCCACGUCUCUUCCCAUUUCCAUCACACACAGCCGCCCAGUGCCUGCUGGUUCCACCCGGGUGCAAGCAGCCAAGUGCGGAUUUGCCUUCUGGCUUUGCAAAGGAGCUGGGGCUGUCUUGGUGGCAUGAGUUGCCACUGAACCUGCAGCAGGGCUUUGGAGGAGGGUGGGUGGUAACAUCAGCUCCGUAACUCUAUCAGCAACAUGUUAGCUGGGUUGAAUCUUGUCACUCAGCAACCAGAGGCAUGCUUUGAAAUGAGUUGUAGUGGUUUUGUGCAACACAACUUGCUCUGUAUUCCCAAACCGAACCGUCAAGUGCCAUCACGGGUGUCCUGGAUCUUAGCAGGGAACCAUGUGAGAAAUCUGAAGGGCUGUGCAAGGUGUCAGAACUCCAAAGUGGCUGCAGACAUCUACAGAUAUUUAAUGGGAAACAAAACAAAUCUUUACUUGUCCUAAUACUGUUAAAUUCACUUACUACAAACCUGCUUUCAGCUGCUUGGCUAAGUCGUACUGGAAAUAAUUGGACACACCUACGAAAAAUUGCAGUGGAAUUUUGCUAUGAACUGCAAUGUUCUCUUCAGGUCACCCAUCUCCUCUGUUAGAUAACUCUCUUAACAGCAGUUGGGUAACAGCUCCUCUCCUUCAAGUGGCCUUCCCCUUUUAAGCUUUAAAGACAGUGGCUGUUCUUUGAAGAUCCCUUAAAGUAACGUUUGUGGGGUUUAUAAUUCCUCACAUGUAACACUGGGAUGCUGCUCAGGACAUGCUCAGAGCUCUCACUGGGGCUGUUACCCAUGAUAUGGGCUUCAGAGCUCUGCUCCUCUCUUGGGGGAGGCCAGGAGGAUAACGGAGGUCCUGCCUGGUUUGACUGCAGUCCUCUGGUACAGAGACCAUGGUGGUCAGCUCGCACUUCUGCUCUUUCCAUCGUGUCCGGAGCUGCGGUGUUUCUGGGCAGUAGCAGUACUUUGCUAUUCCAGUUGCAGCUCUUGCCUUGGUAUGCCUGCAGCAUGGAAGGCACUGCCAAUAGGGUUCUGUUCUGUCAUCCUUAGGGAUGAGAAAUUAGGAAUUCUUGAAUACUGACCUUGUGCUUUGAGAGGCCUCAAUUAUGUAAUCUUUUCCAGCCUUCUGUGAGGCUGUGAUGAUGUGUCAGAGUCCCUGAGUAUCUCUGAAGCCCAGAAGGCCCAGCAGAGCUUCUGGUGAGAGCUGUUGCUGUCUCCCAGGUAGCAUGGGGAGUGCCUGGUCUGUGUGGUGGGUGUCUGUCAACCUGUAAGGGGAUGUGCCUCUGCUCUGGGGUCCUUCUAGUUUGCAAGAGACCUAACAGGAGAGUGCCAGUCUGUUCCCUGAUUGUUUUAUAAAGGCAAUCAAGAUCAAAGCACAGGGCUGCCUGCUAAGCAGCAUCGAAAAGAAAUCUUUGCACUACUUCCCUCUUCAAGACUGCGGUGUCUCCAGAAUGAUCACGUCUUUGAAUCAAGUGUAAGAAGCUGAGGCACCAGGAGACUGCAGCUGGGUGUGAUGUGGGCUUCCCAAGGAACAAUGUCAACCCUCGCCCCUAACCACGUGUGGAAGAGGCUGAGGCACAGAGCUGCUGGCUCCUGUGGCUGCCUGGCUGUGCUGCUUGCCCUCCAGCAGCCGAAAUGGUGUUUACUGUCCCCGAGCAGCUGGCUCUUUGGUGUUGGCAUCCGCGCACUCUAGGCGUGCUCUGACAGAUUUCAUCCAGCUCGCUCCUGACUGGUGCAAUACGUCGUCAUAUCCUCGCUGCAGCUGUCUGGGGAUGAAGAAGCCCCUGUUGGGGUGCCAGCCAGUCUGACUGCUUUGCAACAGGAGACUGCCAGGAUCCCUGGUGGCUUUUCGGAAGGCUGGACUUCUGUCAUGUGUCCCCACCCCCCACCAUUGUACCACACAGCAACAUGGAGCUGAGAGUCCUCAGUGGAUUGGGUAAGGGCCUACCCUGCAAAUGCCUCAUCCAAGCAUGUGAGCGCUUGUUUUUGCAGUGUGACCCACACUGUCAGCCAUAAUCCUGAAACCUGAGGUGCUGGAAAGAAAAACUGCUUUUGUACAACAUGCCAGGGUUGUGUUGAAACUGGCACAAACUGCAAGAGCACACGUACAUCUGUCAAGAGUUUGGUGAGCAGGAGCUCAGCUGUAGAGGAUUCUGGGUUGGAGUUGCCUUGUUCAGAGAGCAGCAUGAUGGCAGCAUGUCUGCCAAAGCCAGAAGGGUAGUGGCUGGAGCCUUCCAUCACCAGAACUACUACGGUGUUAGACGCAGCAGGCGACCCAGAAGCCAGCUGCACAGCAGUUAGUGUCCUCCCAGUGUGCGGAGGCUGCUGCUGCUUGGUGGCCACUUCCUUAUGUCAGAGAAAUAAUACUUUUUAAGAAUAACAAGCAGAAUUUACUCAUGCUCUGUGAAUAUUUUUAUAAUAGCAAUGUUAAUCUGUUAGCUAGCAGGGGGAGAAGUCUGAAAACAUCUGAAAACAAAAGAGCCAAGAACCUCAGUGAGGCUUUGGCUCCUCAGUUGCUGCCUAUUUGGCUCUUGACCCUCUGGUUCCUACAACACAGCAACAGUUGAUGAAAACACAAAGCAACAUCUUUGGGAAGCACUCAGUUUUGUCAGGAGAGUCACAGACUCCGUUGCUGGUGCAGAAUGAAGACCUUUAUUGCAGGUGCUCGGAACCUUUUAUACCCACGCAAUAUCCCCUUGGUCACAUGUAUGAACCAGGUGCCUGGUGCGUGUUUACAUCUGGCGCAAGUAGCUACCAAGCUUGCUUACUCAUUUGCAAGGUCCUUUGUUCAUAAUGUCUUUCUUUGUUCCACGCUCAGUGCUUUCAGUCCCCUCACCUCACUGUCACAAUGUGGCCUUAUGCCAUGUCAUCAGCUAAACCAAAAUAUGUGUAUUUUGGUCAUUUUUAACUUAGGUGAAAGAAAACGAUACGCAUGACAUCAUUCUGAGCCUAGAAGUACCUACUGUUUAAUUUACAGAGCACCUCUUUCAAUUUGUGACCAAUAAUAAUGCAUACUUAAAAUACACAACAAAGCCAAAGCCACUGCUGUUACUGUUACUCAUACCUCACUUAUACAGCAAGGUGAACCAGGUGGCAAGAACCUCCCUGCCUCCAGUACAGCCUUUCAGAGGUCUUUUAGUGCUUCACCAUCUGCCAGAUGAAGAUGAUGAGUGCUACUGUGCUCUCACAGAAGAGAUUUCUUCAGCAAAACUCCUAGCUCAGAGGCUGCACCUGAAACAUGGAGUUAGACAUCAGGUAAGCUGCGAAGCACUGACUGUUGGGUCAAAGCGUCUUCUGUGCUUAUUGGACACACUGGGGGCAUUUCCAAAGCAGGCAAGACAGGCAAGUGUUGGAUUACUUGAUACAUGCAUGGCCUGUGGUCUAUGGAAAUGCUUUAAAAAUACGGAGAUUAUAUUGUGUGUCUGUGUGUGUAUGUAUAAAAAUAUGUAAUAUCUUAUAAAAUACUAAUAAUUAUACAUUAUAGUAAAUCUUUUUCUUUUUUAAUUGUUUUUAUUGGUUACUUUUCAUUUUUAUUUUAUUUUUUGUUAUUUUUUAUUUCUUUUUUGUUUUUAUUGUUAUUUAUUAUUCUUUUUUG